rnacentral:misc_RNA from 1 species
GAUGAAGAACGUAGCGAAAUGCGAUAAGUAAUGUGAAUUGCAGAAUUCAGUGAAUCAUCGAAUCUUUGAACGCACAUUGCGCCCGCCAGUAUUCUGGCGGGCAUGCCUGUUCGAGCGUCAUUUCAACCAUCAAGCCCCAGGCUUGUGUUGGGGCCCUGCGGCUGCCGCAGCCUCCCAAAACCAGUGGCGGGCUCGCUAUCACACCGAGUGCAGUAGUUUACUCUUCGCUCAGGGCGUGUGGCGGGUGCUAGCCGUAAAACCCCCAACUUCUCAAGGUUGACCUCGGAUCAGGUAGGAAUACCCGCUGAACUUAAGCAUAUCAAUAAGCGGAGGA